rnacentral:lncRNA from 1 species
ACUUGACGACGACUUGGGCCUGCAGAGGCCGCCGGGAGGCCGGAGCUGGGCCUGGAGAGGCCGACUUCAGGACGAUUUGGGCCUGCAGAGGACGCCGGGAGGCUGCAAGUGGCUCUGGAGAGGCCGAUUUGAGGAGGCCCGGCCUCAGCCUCCCACAUGGCGGCCUCUGCAGGCACAGCUGUUUCUCUUGGCUGCAUCUCCCACCUCCCAGGAAACAAGCUUUUUGGCUCAGCUCCCGCCUGCGUUUGUAGACACCGAAGUUUCGGCAACCAAGCUCUUCAGACCCACAUCCCCCCUCCCAGUACCUGAACAGUCCCAGCUCCGGCUGGAGAACAGAGUCUGUAGGCCCCGCUGUUGCCUCAGAGGGGUGUCUCCAGGCCCCUGGGAGGCAAGAGCGGGACCUGCAUAGGCUGUUCUCCAACCAUUGCUGGGCCCGUACAGGCCACCGGGUGGCAGGAAUUAGGCCCGAAGAACUUGGCUGGAGAAAGUUCGGGGCCCACAAAGGCGGUUGGGAGCUGGGCAGGAGUUGAGCCAAAAGAGCUUGCUUACUUGCCGGGAGGCACGGCCGGGAGAUGCCAACUUCAGGACAACUUGGGCCUGCAGAGGUCGCCGGGAGGCCCAAGCUUGGCGUGGAGGAGCCCACCGACCAGAGACCAUUUGGGGCCUGCAGGUGCCAUCGGAGGGCAGGAGCUCAUCCUGGAGAGGCCACCGUGAGGCCUGACCUGGGCCUGGGGAGCUUGGCUUGAGGAAGCUGUGGGCUGUGGAUAUUGGAUAUAUCCAAUAUCCGAUGGAGCUGUGCCUGUGGAGGCUGUUGUGAGGCAGCAGCCUCAUCUGCGGAGACUGCCGUGACGUAGGGUAUGGGCCUAAAUAGGCCAUUGUGAGUCAUGAGCUUGGUCUGUAGAGGUUGACUGGAGAAAGUUCUGGGCCUGGAGAGGCUGCCGGGAGGUAGGAGCUGGGCCAAAAGAUUUAAGCACAUUUACAUUUAUUAGGGACUUUAUUUCCAUUAUUACAAUAUAUAAUAAUAUAUUUCAUAUAUUAAUAUAUUUAACAUAUUAAUAUAUAUAAUAUAUAUAUUUAUUAUAUAUCCAAUAUAUAAUAAAAUAAUUAUAGAACUCACCAUAAUGUCGAAUCAGUGGGCGUGUUAAGCUUGUUUCCUGAAACUGGAUGGUCCCACCUGAGCGUGAUGGGAGAAGUGACAGAUCAAUAGGUAUUAGAUUCUCAUAAGGACAGCGCAACCUAGGCCCUNACAUACCCGGUU